rnacentral:lncRNA from 1 species
GUCAGGAGAUCCAGACAAUCCUGGCCAACAUGGUGAAACCCUGUCUCUACUAAAAAUACAAAAAAAUAGCCGGGUGUGGCUGCACACACCUGUAGUCCCAGCUACUCAGGAGGCUGAGGCAGGAGAAUCGGUUGAACCUGGGAGGUGGAGGCAGCAGUGAGCCGAGAUCGCACCACUGCAUUCGAGCCUGGGCGAAAAAGUGAGACUCCAUCUCAAACAAAACAAAACAAAACAAAACAAAACAAAACAAUAAAAUUUACCACCAUAACCAUUUUAAAGUAUAGAGUUCAUUGGCAUGAGAUACAAUCAUAUUGCUGUGCAACACUCACCACUGUUCAUCUCCAGAAUGUUUUUCAUUGUCCCAAACUGAAAUUCUGCACCCAUUAAACACUAACUCCCCAUUCUCCCUCCUCCAGCCCCCGGCAAC